GACGAACGCUGGCGGCGUGCCUAAUACAUGCAAGUCGAACGCAGUUGGGACGGGUUAGUAACACGUGGGUAACCUCCCAUCAGAGGGGAUAACGCUUGGAAACAGGUGCUAAACCGAUACUGAUGGAUGGACCCGCGGUGCAUUAGCUAGUUGGGGAGGUAACGGCUCACCAAGGCCACGAUGCAUCGCCGACCUGAGAGGGUGAGCGGCCACACUGGGACUGAGACACGGCCCAGACUCCUACGGGAGGCAGCAGUAGGGAAUAUUCGGCAAUGGACGAAAGCCUGACCGAGCAACGCCGCGUGAGUGAAGAAGGUUUUAGGAUCGUAAACCUCUGUUGUUAGAGAAGCGGUAUCUAACCAGAAAGCAACGGCUAACUCCGUGCCAGCAGCCGCGGUAAUUC
rnacentral:rRNA from 1 species